rnacentral:lncRNA from 1 species
GGCGAGCUCCUCUUCACGAGGACUACAUUGUUACUUCCCGCACCAACCCCGUUGUGAUGUGCAAACAAGCCCUCGUUUCGCCGUGCUGUCGAGAAUCGUGGAUCGCCGGUGUGAAGGGCCCGAUGUUGCAGUACUGGCCGUGCUUGUAGUCGAGUCCGUACUAGAAAUAAUAGUGGGCGACGUAGGCAACUUCAUGCUACAUUUGAGGAUAUCAGAGGGUGGCACGAUGCUUGAUUAUUUCACUCCCAGCGGC